GUCUGUCUUGGUCGUUGUCCUGGUCGUGUGAGCGCGAGAGGUCGUGUUGGCUGUGGUGUCGUCUCUCUCUCCUAAUUACCCGUUAUCCUCACUGUUGUGACCCUUUUUCUGAGGGAGAUUCGGUCAGAUUGACGUCGCUAAACCUCGAGGUAUUGUUGAAGGAGUUUUUUUUCGUGUGGAUAUAAGGAUAUUAAAGGAAAGAAAAAAAGUGUUUCGCUUGGCGUAAAAUAUUUUUUGGAAAGAGUUCCUUUUUUUCAAAAGAAGAGAGAGAAAGGGGGAAUAUAAGUGUGUUUAAACGCGUCUCAUUUUAUCUAUCAAGAAGAAAGAGUCAUUUAAACAUCGAAUAUCAGGUGGCACGCGUCUUGACAGAUUCCCCAACUAAGGAUUUUUGGAGAAUCGAUACUACAUCCGGGAUCUCGUCACCACUUAUUGCUUACACAAGAUGGCGACGAGUUGGAACGAGGUCAUCCUUGAGGAAGGUUACUAGAGAGAGAAGGGUGACGUCAUGCUCACACUGAGACACCUGCCAGGCUCCCAGGGU